rnacentral:rRNA from 1 species
GACGAACGCUGGCGGCGUGCCUAAUACAUGCAAGUCGAACGAAGCUGUUUUAACUGGUGCUUGCACCGACUUAAACAACUGAGUGGCGAACGGGUGAGUAACACGUGGGUAACCUGCCCCAAAGCGGGGGAUAACAUUUGGAAACAGAUGCUAAUACCGCAUAACCACAGAAACCACAUGGUUUCUGUGUCAAAGAUGGUUUCGGCUAUCACUUUGGGAUGGACCCGCGGCGUAUUAGCUAGUUGGUAAGGUAAUGGCUUACCAAGGCAAUGAUACGUAUCCGAACUGAGAGGUUGAUCGGCCACAUUGGGACUGAGACACGGGCCAAACUCCUACGGGAGGCAGCAGUAGGGAAUCUUCCACAAUGGACGAAAGUCUGAUGGAGCAACGCCGCGUGAGUGAAGAAGGUUUUCGGAUCGUAAAACUCUGUUGUCAGAGAAGAACGUGUGCGAGAGAAACUGCUCGUGCAGUGACGGUAUCUGGCCAGAAAGCCACGGCUAACUACGUGCCAGCCGCCGCGGUAA